CCUACGGGCGGCAGCAGUAGGGAAUCUUUCACAAUGGGCGAAAGCCUGAUGGAGCAACGCCGCGUGCAGGAUGAAGGCCUUCGGGUUGUAAACUGCUUUUAUAAGCGAGAAAUAUGAUGGUAACUUAUGAAUAAGGAUCGGCUAACUACGUGCCAGCAGCCGCGGUCAUACGUAGGAUCCGAGCAUUAUCCGGAGUGACUGGGUGUAAAGAGUUGCGUAGGUGGCAUAAUAAGUAGCUAGUGAAAUCUGGUGGCUCAACCAUUCAGACUAUUAGCUAAACUGUUAAGCUCGAGACCGUUAGGGGUAACUGGAAUUUCUAGUGUAGGAGUGAAAUCCGUAGAUAUUAGAAGGAACACCAAUAGCGUAGGCAGGUUGCUGGGACGGUUCUGACACUAAGGCACGAAAGCGUGGGGAGCAAACAGGAUUAGAUACCCCGGUAGUC
rnacentral:rRNA from 1 species